rnacentral:lncRNA from 1 species
AUUGCUUGAACCCAGGAGGCAGAAGUUGCAGCGAGCCAAGACCACAUCAGUGCACUCUAGCCUGGGAGACAGAGCAAGACUCUGUCUCAAAAAAAAUACAAUGAACAAGGUAAAAAUACCAGCACAUGCAAAGCUCUGAGGUCAGAAACACUCCAGUUCCUCUCCACCCUAAUCACUCUGCAGGAGAUAAAGAGGUUGGAAAAAACCAGGUCAUUCCCAGUGUUGUACAAGCUUGGACAUUCUUGGAAAUGCCAGGAGAAGUUAUUAGGAUCUUUAGGGGAAAGGACUGACAUGGUCUGAUCGAUGCUUCAAGUUUAUUAGGACUGCUAUCUGAAGAAUGGGGUUGAAAGAAAAAAGGAGAAGCAAGGGCCAAUUAGGAAGGUUUGUCAGUAAUCCCAGUAAGAAAUUAUAGCAGUUUGAAUUAAGAGAGAAAGACUAAAGUUAUACUUUGGAAUAAGAAUCUUAGAUUAAAUGGAUUGGAUUAAAUGUGGUGGAGAGAAGGUUGUUAAAUAAGGAGAAAAAAAUAUUAGGCCUUUGGCUUGAACAACCAGGUGGACGGUGCUGCUGUUUACUGAGAUGUGAAAGACUAGGGGAAGAACAGGGUUAGGGCUGAAAAUCAAGAAUUCAGUUUUGGACAUGUUAAGCUUGAGAUGCAUGUGAAAAAUAGAUAACAUGGAGACUCUGUGGAGAAAUAGUAGAUGGAAAUAGAAACUUGAGAAGUCAUCAGGAUACAGAGGUAUUUAACAUGAAUGGAUUGGAGCACCUUGGGUAGAAGUAUAGAGGGAGAUGAGUAGGUAGCCAAACACCACAACCUAAGGGACUCCAAAGUUUAGACAUGUAGUAGAGAAGGAAGAGAUGUAAGGAGGACCCAAAGACUGUGGAGUCACAGAAGCCAAGAAAGAAAGGUGUUUCAAGAACAGUGGUCGACUUUCAUUUAAAAUGGCAAAAUGAAGAUACUUCUACACACUUCUCUCAGAAAUCUCCUUCAAACAACAAAGAGAAUGAGAACAGAAACACAAAUUCCAACUUUAAUGAAUGCUAGAGACAUUUGUAGCCAACAAAAAUAUGAAGAUGAAAAGAGGUGGAAGGAUAGUAACUACCUAUAGGAACAGUAGAAAGUGAAACAAGUGCUUGCAGAGAGAUACUGAUGAGAAGAAAGUUGAUUGACUCUGCCUAACCCUGAAAAGACACAGAAAAUGGAGUUAUCCAGUACUAUAAAAAAGGGAGAAAAAUGGAAAAUUGAGCCUUGGGAUUUUGGAUCUCUUGCGCCACAAUAUGAAUGGACAACCAAGUAUUUCCAGACAUUUACAGUAAUAUAAAAAUAGAGAUUCAAACAAACUGUAAAAAGGAACUUGAAGAGGAAAAAAAGUAUAAAAGCUGAAGAACUCUUGAAAUUUAAAACACUGUAAUUACUCCUCUCAGAAUGAUAAGAAUAUAUUGUGUGUAUAAAUCAGCAACAGGAAGCCACAUAAAAGAAAAGUUCGGCCAGGCACAGAGGCUCACACCUGUAAUCCCAACAAGCGUUGGGAGGCGAGGCAGACAGAUCAUGAGGUCAAGAGAUUGAGACCAUCCUGGCCAACAUGGUGAAACCCCGUCUCUACUAAAAAAUACAAAAAUAAGCUGGGCAUGGUGGUGCACACCUGUAGUCCCAGCUGCUCGGAAGGCUGAAGCAGGAGAAUCGCUCAAACCCGGGAGGCAGAGGUUGCAGUGAGUCGAGAUCACACCACUGCACUCCAUCCUAGCAACAGAGUGAGACUCUGUCUCAAAAAAAAAAAAAAAGAAAAAGAAAAAGAAAAAAAAAGACAGAAAAAUUCAGAGAACAAGAAAGAGAUCUUGGAAAUAAAAAUACAACUGCAAUGACUUUUUAAAAAUCAAUAGAGCAAUUGGAAGAUACAAACCAAGAAAAUCCCUCACUUUUCUUUGAAAUUAAGGACUUGUUAAUAAUAAUACAGAAAACUUCCUCCCAGAAUUUAGAAAAAAAAGAGAAAGCUUUUUGCAAUCAAAUUAUCAGUCCAGCCUCUGAUGAAGCCUAUGUUAGUAGGCACAUCUGAGUGGUAAUGAAUGCCAGCAGCUCUGAUGAAAAAAACAGGAUCAAUCCAGAAGAUGAGUUCCAGAAAGGAAGAAGAACAGAGAAAAUAAUGGGAGGGAAAUUAUUUUAUAUACACACACUUAAUUCCCAGAAUUAAAAGACAUAAAACUAUAAAUUAAAAGGAUCCACAAUUACACACAAUGAAUAUUAAAAGAUCCCUAGGACACAUUAUCAUAAAAUUUUAGAACAUCAAAAAUGAAAAGAAGAUCCUAAAAGCUUCCAGACAGAAAAACAGGUCCCAUAGAAAUGACAGAAAUCCAAAUGGUAUUUGGCUUUACAACAGCUAUAUCAGAGGUGGCAGCAUAGGGGAAAGGUUGGAAACCUGGCUGCUGGGUUUGAAUCCUGACUCUAUACUCUGUGAGUAAUGAUAGUGUUGUUAUGAGGAUAAGGUAGGUUCGUAUUUAUAAGCGUGCAGAACAGUGUCUGGUACCUAAUAUUUGCGAUUUAAGUAUUUUCUAAAUAUACCUAGGGAAGAUAAAUUGAACACGUAUUCUAAAUUCUGAGGGUAAAUGAGUAAAUGAGCUGCCACUUGCAAGUCAGUACCUAACUAAAACUCUUAAAUAGGUAUAAGAAUAGAAAAAAACAUCUUUUUUUUUUUUUAGGCAGAGUCUCUUUCACCCAGGCUAGAGUGCAGUGGUGCGAUCUCGGCUCACUGCAACCUCCACCUCCCAGGAUUAAGCAAUUCUCAUGCCUCAGCCUUCCUAGUAACUGGGAUUACAGGUGCUCGCCUGUAAUUAGCACCAGCUAAUUUUUGUAUUUUUAGUAGAGAUGGGGUUUCGCCAUGUUGGCCAUGCUGGUCUUGAACUCCUGACCUCAGGUGAUCCACCCACCUUGGCCUCCCAAAGUGCUGGGAUUACAGGAAUUAGAAAAAAAAAAAAAAAAAAAAAACAUAUUUUCAGGCAUGCAAAGUCACCCCCAAAAUUAACUUCCUCUGCACCUUUUCUCAGGAAGCUCCAGAAUUAUAAGCAUCACUGAAAAUAGGGAUUAAACUAAGAAAGAGGAUACAAUAGGCAGGAAAUAGGGAACCUAACACAGGAGAAAAGCAAAGGAAAGUCCCAGAAUGACAGCUGGAUAGCAGGCCUAGAGGGUAAUCAGUGAAGAUCACAGGAUGGUCUUCAGAAAAAUAAAUGAAAUGGAUAGAUUCCUGCCAGAUUUGACCAUGUCAGACAUCAUACUGAAAGAAGGAAGAAAAAUUAGCAAAGGCUGCAAGGUACAAGGAAAUGAACAAAUGAAAAUAAAUCAGGCAAUUACUAUGUACAGGAAAAACAGAAAGUUGAAUAAGAAAAAGAAACAAUCAGUACACUGCUUGGCCAAGCUGACAGCAGUAUUAAUUUAGUCCAUUAAUAAAAAUAUUUAAUAGUGAUUUAAGUAGAAACAGUGAUAUAACUAUUCCAGAGGAUUAAAAAGGGAUAAGAGUUGGGGCUUGGGAGAUAUGUGUGCUAAACAGCAACUACCAAAAUGAGAAGCCAAUAUAAUCUCUAAAGUUAAAAAGCAAAGAGAGUAUUGACAUAUUAUUUAGAAAUAUGGAGGUAAACACAGGACUGGAAUACUUACCCUAAAUAGUGUGUAUGUAUUCUCCUGAGCCUCCUUAUUAAUCCUAGGCACCACUUAAAAAUCGCCUCUUAGAUCCAUUUGGAGGGCUGAUGAUGUAUGGUCUUCUCAUAACUGUUCUAAAAGAAAUCUAAAGAAUAUUGGAGAGAGCUGAGGCCAGGCCUGCCUGGGAUCAGGUGAGGAAGAGGAAAUAAUCUUUAUUAUUUGACUUCUAUAUUUCACCCUGUCUCAUAGGAAGGUAGAUUCCCAUGUCCAUUGCUCUUUGGUUUGAUAGUCGCUCUUGGUACACCCACCAUUUGAUACAGAUUCCCUUUCUCUUGGUGGGAAAGUGAGCACUGAUAGUUCUGUUUGGGAAAGUCCUUCUUUUCCUUGAAGUGAAGCCCUAAGUUACUGAGAAGACGAAUCAAAGAAAAUACUCAAUUUACUGUUUGUUACUAUAAGCUGUACUCUUUUUUGUUUUGCUGUUUUGUUUUGUUUUGAGACAGAAUCUCGCUCUGUCGCCCAGGCUGGAGUACAGUGGCGCGAUCUCGGCUCACUGCAACCUCCGCCUCCCGGGUUCAAGCGAUUCUCCAGCCUCAGCCUCCCGAGUAGCUGGGACUACAGACGUGCGCCACUACGCCUAGCUAAUGUUUGUAUUUUUAGUAGAGACGGGGUUUCACCAUGUUGGUUGGCCAGGAUGGUCUCGAUCUCUUGACCUCGUGAUCUGCCCGCCUUGGCCUCCCAAAGUGCUGGGAUUAGAGGCGAGAGCCACCGCGCCCGGCCCAGUAUAAGCUAUGCUCUUACAGCCACAUCUCCCACUCUGCCUCAGCCUCUCUCUAAAUUAAGGGGUUCCAGUUAGGUUUCCAGGAUUUCCUUUCUCUGUCUCUUCAGUCCGGGCUCAUUGCACCAUAACUAAUAGAAAUUCUUUGAAUUUUGUGGAAUGUGGUUGGCAACAUUCCCUGGUUUCAAAACAAAUUAGUUGGGAGCAUUUUGUUUU